rnacentral:rRNA from 1 species
UGGGGAAUAUUGGACAAUGGGCGAAAGCCUGAUCCAGCCAUGCCGCGUGUGUGAAGAAGGUCUUCGGAUUGUAAAGCACUUUAAGUUGGGAGGAAGGGCAGUAAGCGAAUACCUUGCUGUUUUGACGUUACCGACAGAAUAAGCACCGGCUAACUCUGUGCCAGCAGCCGCGGUAAUACAGAGGGUGCAAGCGUUAAUCGGAAUUACUGGGCGUAAAGCGCGCGUAGGUGGUUCGUUAAGUUGAAUGUGAAAGCCCCGGGCUCAACCUGGGAACUGCAUCCAAAACUGGCGAGCUAGAGUAGGGCAGAGGGUGGUGGAAUUUCCUGUGUAGCGGUGAAAUGCGUAGAUAUAGGAAGGAACACCAGUGGCGAAGGCGACCACCUGGGCUCAUACUGACACUGAGGUGCGAAAGCGAGGGGAGCAAACAGG